rnacentral:tRNA from 1 species
ACCUAAAUAGCUUAUACAAGAGUAUAAUAUUGAAGAUGUUAUGGAAAUAGAAUUAUUUUUAGGUA